CUGCCGCAUUGCCAGCCGCCGGCUGUCCGCAUUUCGAAUGCCACAGAGUUGCAACAAUUCCAACGAAUUCAAUUUGUCCCCGGGGAGAAAGGAGCACGGUGUAGCAGAUGGAGGCUGCAAGUGGAAGUGGAAGCAGGAGCAGGAACAGCGGAACUGAUGGCACCACUGCCUUUGACAAGUCGCUGCGCCAGCGUCACGUAAAAAGCCCCACAAUGCAGCUCCUUUUCCCGAUCCUGGCCUCCUUGCCGCCGCCUGACACGUGUGCAACAUGCAGCACAUGACAGACAACUUUGUUGCUGCCGCACUCAUUUUUGCGGGGUAUGUGGGGUAUACUAGACGCAAAUACAAAAGGGGAGGAAGCACUUCUACACUUCUACACCUAUUAAUCGGUACUUAACCCAAUGCAUCUUUGCCUUUUGAUUAUGAAGUUUACUACGUGGCAUGCCAAUUUAUUCACUCUUAAGCUAAAUAGUAGCAGCUGAAAAGUUUUCAUGGCUAAAACUUUUACGCGCACGAUUUGACAACCAAGCUGGUUGCUGCUGCUGGCAUCUUCAGCAGAACCUGGUUGCCACAUGUUUCCGGUUUCCCCUGCCCCAACCACUUCCCCUAAAAGGACUGCACACAAUGCAUUUGGUUGCCAAUAGUUGGGGGUUCCGCCAGAUCCCUGUUCACUCCAUAUAUUAAACACUUUUUAAUCGCAAUGCGGCAGCUCAGUGGGUUCGGUGACUGAAUCUAUAUAUAUGUGUGCUUAACACCGAAAAUUUUAAAAGCAAAG